UUGUCCUACGGGAGGCAGCAGUGGGGAAUAUUGCGCAAUGGGGGAAACCCUGACGCAGCAACGCCGCGUGAAGGAAGAAGGCUUUCGGGUUGUAAACCUCUUUUCUUGGGGACGAAGAAAGUGACGGUACCCAAGGAAUAAGCCACGGCUAACUACGUGCCAGCAGCCGCGGUAAUACGUAGGUGGCAAGCGUUAUCCGGAUUUAUUGGGUGUAAAGGGCGUGUAGGCGGGAUUGCAAGUCAGAUGUGAAAACCACGGGCUCAACCUGUGGCCUGCAUUUGAAACUGUAGUUCUUGAGUGCUUGG
rnacentral:rRNA from 1 species